UACAGAGGGGGCAAGCGUUGUUCGGAAUUACUGGGCGUAAAGGGCGCGUAGGCGGCCGGCUAAGUCGAACGUGAAAUCCCCGGGCUCAACCCGGGAACUGCGUCCGAUACUGGAAGGCUUGAAUCCGGGAGAGGGAUGCGGAAUUCCAGGUGUAGCGGUGAAAUGCGUAGAUAUCUGGAGGAACACCGGUGGCGAAGGCGGCAUCCUGGACCGGUAUUGACGCUGAGGCGCGAAAGCCAGGGGAGCAAACGGG
rnacentral:rRNA from 1 species